rnacentral:rRNA from 1 species
AGAUUGAACGCUGGCGGCAGGCCUAACACAUGCAAGUCGAGCGGUAGAGAGGUGCUUGCAUCUCUUGAGAGCGGCGGACGGGUGAGUAAUGCCUAGGAAUCUGCCUAGUGGUGGGGGAUAACGUUCGGAAACGGACGCUAAUACCGCAUACGUCCUACGGGAGAAAGCGGGGGACCUUCGGGCCUCGCGCCAUUAGAUGAGCCUAGGUCGGAUUAGCUAGUUGGUGAGGUAAUGGCUCACCAAAGGCGACGAUCCGUAACUGGUCUGAGAGGAUGAUCAGUCACACUGGAACUGAGACACGGUCAGACUCCUACGGGAGCAGCAGUGGGGAAUAGUUGGACAAUGGGACGAAAGCCUGAUCCAGCC